rnacentral:rRNA from 1 species
AGGCCGACAGGCGUAGGCGAUGGAUAACAGGUUGAUAUUCCUGUACCACCUAUUAUCGUUUUAAGCGAUGGGGGGACGCAGUAGGAUAGGCGAAGCGUGCUGUUGGAGUGCACGUCCAAGCAGUAAGACUGAGUGUUAGGCAAAUCCGGCACUCAUAAGGUUGAGCUGUGAUGGGGAGAGGAAAUACGUUUCCUCGAGUCGUUGAUUUCACACUGCCAAGAAAAGCCUCUAGCUAGAUACUUGGUGC